rnacentral:rRNA from 1 species
UACAGAGGUCUCAAGCGUUGUUCGGAUUCAUUGGGCGUAAAGGGUGCGUAGGCGGCGCGGUAAGUCGGGUGUGAAAUCUCGGGGCUUAACUCCGAAACUGCAUUCGAUACUGCUGUGCUUGAGGACUGGAGAGGAGACUGGAAUUUACGGUGUAGCGGUGAAAUGCGUAGAUAUCGGGAGGAACGCCAGUGGCGAAGGCGGGACUUCCU